rnacentral:lncRNA from 1 species
ACGAUCCAAAGGGAAAUUAUGAUCAGCAUGAACGGAAUGAUCAGAUGGAAUGACACGGACAGUAGGACUGGCAUGAUCCGACAUGAAAACCUCGGUUUGGUCGAGCUGGUAAACAAGAACGCCACCUUGGGUCGUGUCCAUGAACCAAACAGAACGGUGCUUGAUCCAGGGCGUAUCACGGACUGUCCCGAACAUCAAACAACGAGUAGGAUCACCAGGACAUGAUAUCCGUGCAUUCUCGUCUAAAUUCCUUAAUACUAUCUUCUACAGGCCACGACAAUACCAUCUCUCACUCCCAUCGAUUGGAGUUAUCACUU